rnacentral:rRNA from 1 species
UAGGGAAUCUUCGGCAAUGGACGAAAGUCUGACCGAGCAACGCCGCGUGAGUGAAGAAGGUUUUCGGAUCGUAAAACUCUGUUGGUAGAGAAGAACGUUGGUGAGAGUGGAAAGCUCAUCAAGUGACGGUAACUACCCAGAAAGGGACGGCUAACUACGUGACAG